rnacentral:rRNA from 1 species
GAUGAACGCUGGCGGCGUGCCUAAUACAUGCAAGUCGAGCGAACGGACGAGAAGCUUGCUUCUCUGAUGUUAGCGGCGGACGGGUGAGUAACACGUGGAUAACCUACCUAUAAGACUGGGAUAACUUCGGGAAACCGGAGCUAAUACCGGAUAAUAUUUUGAACCGCAUGGUUCAAAAGUGAAAAACGGUCUUGCUGUCACUUAUAGAUGGAUCCGCGCUGCAUUAGAUAGUUGGUAAGGUAACGGCUUACCAAGGCAACGAUGCAUAGCCGACCUGAGAGGGUGAUCGGCCACACUGGAACUGAGACACGGUCCAGACUCCUACGGGAGGCAGCAGUAGGGAAUCUUCCGCAAUGGGCGAAAGCCUGACGGAGCAACGCCGCGUGAGUGAUGAAGGUCUUCGGAUCGUAAAACUCUGUUAUUAGGGAAGAACAUAUGUGUAAGUAACUGUGCACAUCUUGACGGUACCUAAUCAGAAAGCCACGGCUAACUACGUG